UCACAAAUCUGAUAACAGUUCUGAUUGAAAACCAGAAAAACAAAACGAGCAACUACUCCAAAACCAGGAUUAAACUGUCAAACGUCAUCAGCAACAAAUUGCCAGCGGAUUCACAAACCUCUAAAUCAUCCGCUAAUCCAGGUUGGGUAGUGUCUCUGACAACAAUCCUCCUGCUGCAAGUUUGACUUCAUAAACCGUUCCACUGCUCCAGGUUUUCACUGUACAAGAUGUCUCUCAGAAGUGAAAGCCCGGCCGAUGAUAUGGAUCUAGGGCAACUGAACUCCCCGCCUGGCUCAAUCCUACCAGCGUCAGGAAGGAAGUACUACAACAAUCUCUGCCUUCAACUAGAAGAAACAUGCGAUGAACAACCUCGCGGGUAUUUUGACGCCACCGCGAUUUGUACAACGGAAUUACCACCAACAGAGCCGGCUACCCUUCGGGACAUCGUUAUACACCACAUACAUUCCAAUUUAGCAGUUACAAUAAGAAUAAAUGAACGGGCUACAUUUUGGAAUUUUGCUCCCCAAAAGACAAUAAUACCGAAAUUACCCCUCCCUCUUUCGAUACAAGCAGAGUUAUUGGUCCUUCAUGACCACUGUGAUCUGCAUGGGCAUCGCCGUUACGAACGAUCAAACACGUUCAGUAGAGGUCUCAUAUAUAUCGGGGGAAAUUCCCCUUUGGCUAUGCUAUUAAAAGAGUUGGGAAAACCAGGGGAGAAAAUGCUUUCGCGAUAUUUUCGAGUUCCGGAUUUUGGGUACGAAUUGAUGCGAUUAGUUCCCUUUCGGAUGCCGACUGGUCCGGAAGUUCCGAGCAGGGACUUUAUAGAGAUUGUUAAACCAUCUAUCCUUUUUUCCAAGAGGUUAGGUUGAUUGCUAUAUUAGACCUAAACUUACCCAUGUAAAUAGAAAUAGUAUUUUAACUUUGUAAAACAUGUAAUAAUGACAGAAAUCAAUUUAGUAAUUUGAAUUUUUUAUUAUUGAAAUCUUUUAGGGAGAACAGAACCUUGAGACCAAACUAACAAAUUGAGAUAUAGAUAGAACCUAAUAUAAUUUUAGCCAAAUAAUUCCAGUGAGCGUCUCUAUAGAGCCUAAGAAGAAAUACUCAGGAACAUGAGUUCAGUUCAGCAAGAACCAGAAGAAAGUAACGAAGAACAUGAUUUAGAAGAUAAUUAACCAGGGACCAUAACCCUACAGACCCGGGACAUAAGUAACCAGGGACCAUAACCCUACAGACCGGGCAGAAGUAAAGUUUGACAAGGAACUAAAGAAUAACCAAGAAUAUUAUUUAGAAUAAUUAACUAGGGACCAUAACCUAUAGACCCUGGUCAGAAGUCACAUGAGACGAGGGGAUCUAUGUAUUGAUUCAAGAUAAAUAGGUUCUAGCUUAAAUUAGUUUUUUGGAUGGUCUUUGGGGAUCUCAGUUCAACAGAAGAGAUUGUUUUGUAAAAUCCUUAUUAAGUACAGAGAUAUUUGAUUUCUGAAGUAAUUUGCAUGUAUUUAAACCCCAGUUUGUAUAUUUAACCAUGUUACCCUCUUGUCAGUGAGUUUUCUCUCCCCUUUUCCC
rnacentral:misc_RNA from 1 species